CCUACGGGAGGCAGCAGUAAGGAAUAUUGGGCAAUGGACGCAAGUCUGACCCAGCCAUGCCGCGUGAAGGAAGACGGCCCUAUGGGUUGUAAACUUCUUUUCUCAGGGGGUAAACUUCGGAACGUGUUCCGGACUGAAAGUACCUGAGGAAUAAGCAUCGGCUAACUCCGUGCCAGCAGCCGCGGUAAUACGGAGGAUGCGAGCGUUAUCCGGAUUCAUUGGGUUUAAAGGGUGCGCAGGCGGGUAUAUAAGUCGGAGGUGAAAUUCUGAUGCUCAACAUCAGCCGUGCCUUCGAUACUGUAUAUCUAGAGUCAAGUUGGAGUAGGCGGAAUGUGUUGUGUAGCGGUGAAAUGCUUAGAUAUAACACAGAACACCGAUCGCGAAGGCAGCUUACUAAACUUUGACUGACGCUCAUGCACGAAAGCGUGGGGAUCAAACA
rnacentral:rRNA from 1 species